GUAAACAAAGACCAAUAGCAUACUACUCCACCAGAUUGGACCCUGUUGCCAGGGGUGCCCCCUCAUGUGUUAGGGCAGUGGCGGCUGUUACUGCCCUCCUGGACAAAGCCACUGAUAUUGUUUUAGAUAAUCCUGUGACCAUAUACACACCGCAUGAUAUCAACAGCAUACUCUCACGAGUUCAACCAAAACACAUACAUACUGCAAGGCAUCUCAGAAUGCAAUGUGCCUUGCUUAUGCCACCUAAUGUUACUCUUAAAAGGUGUAUG